GUGGGGAAUCUUGCGCAAUGGGCGAAAGCCUGACGCAGCAACGCCGCGUGAGGGAUGAAGGCCUUCGGGUUGUAAACCUCUUUCAGCAGGAACGAAUCUGACGGUACCUGCAGAAGAAGGUCCGGCCAACUACGUGCCAGCAGCCGCGGUAACACGUAGGGACCGAGCGUUGUCCGGAUUUAUUGGGCGUAAAGAGCUCGUAGGCGGUUCGGUAAGUCGGGUGUGAAAGCUCCAGGCUCAACUUGGAGAGGCCACCCGAUACUGCCAUGACUUGAGUCCGGUAGGGGAGUGGGGAAUUCCUGGUGUAGCGGUGAAAUGCGCAGAUAUCAGGAGGAACACCGGUGGCGAAGGCGCCACUCUGGGCCGGUACUGACGCUGAGGAGCGAAAGCGUGGGUAGCAAACAGGAUUAGAAACCCGGGUAGUCC
rnacentral:rRNA from 1 species